rnacentral:rRNA from 1 species
UACGAAGGGGGCAAGCGUUGUUCGGAAUUACUGGGCGUAAAGGGCUCGUAGGCGGCCAACUAAGUCAGACGUGAAAUCCCUCGGCUUAACCGGGGAACUGCGUCUGAUACUGGUUGGCUUGAAUCCGGGAGAGGGAUGUGGAAUUCCUGGUGUAGCGGUGAAAUGCGUAGAGAUCAGGAGGAACACCCGUGGCGAAGGCGGCUCCCUGGUCCGUUUCUGACGCUGAGACGCGAAAGCGCGGGGAGCGAACGGG